rnacentral:rRNA from 1 species
CCUACGGGAGGCAGCAGUGGGGGAUAUUGCACAAUGGGGGGAACCCUGAUGCAGCGACGCCGCGUGGGUGAAGGAGUGCUUCGGCAUGUAAAGCUCUAUCGGCAGGGAAGAAGCAAGACGGUACCUGACUAAGAAGCCCCGGCUAACUACGUGCCAGCAGCCGCGGUAAUACGUAGGGGGCGGGCGUUAUCCGGAUUCACUGGGUGUAAAGGGAGCGUAGGCGGCCAUGCAAGCCAGAGGUGAAAGCCCGGGCCCCAACCCCGGGACUGCCCUUGGAACUGCAGGGCUAGAUUGCGGGAGGGGCAGGCGGAAUUCCUGGUGUAGCGGUGAAAUGCGUAGAUAUCAGGAGGAACACCGGCGGCGAAGGCGGCCUGCUGGACCGCGACUGACGCUGAGGCUCGAAAGCGUGGGGAGCGAACAGGAUUAGAUACCCGAGUAGUC